GAUGUGGUUGGUGUCACUGUACUUGCCGCACGGGAGUGCACAUAGCAGUGGGGAUAGGAGACCAGCUGCGUUUUCUGGAAAGGGACCAGAGAAGGUAAAGCAGUGGGGUGUUUCCCACGUGCAAGGUCGAAGAGCGGGUAUGUCAGCUCCAGGAUCCCUUUGAGCUGCAAGGGAGAAAGGAUGUACCCAGAGCAAGGCCAAGUUGACGUGAAAUUAUUCCGCACAGACUCCCAUGGGGCCACGCGCUUGAACACAUGGCUCUCUGCAGGUGGAUUUGUCUCGGAAGGUUGUGGAGUCUUUACCUGCCUUGGGGGAGGUCCAGUGUGAUCAUCGCUCACUCUCCUGCAUCCGUGCCCUCCGCCCCAAAGUGCUGCGUCCUCUCAGCUGGUAAUGGGGGGCCCUGUCUCCCUUCAGUUGCUCCUUGUCACCUGGCUCCUCCUUGUAGCAGGAAAGGGAGCCAGCACACCAUACGCCCAUUUCAACAACAUCGCAUUUCAAAAGAGGUGGCCUUGAACGUCUGACACAGAGACUAUCUGGCCUGCCACACACCCCGGGAAAGAAUGGACACUUUUACAAAACACAUUUUGAUGAAAAGAAGUGAAAGAAUCCAUGCCCAUACUCAAAGGAAACCCAG